GGCCUGAGUUAUUAGACGGCGGGGUAAAAGCGCCGCGCGGCAGAAGCGGCCAAGGAAGGGCCGCGGGACCCGCAGCCAUUUUUCUGCAGUGGAGCGAAAUGGCCAAACUGGGCUUUUCCUUUGUUCCACAAAGAGGGGAAUCCGCCAUGUGAAUCCGCACCGCGCGCAGUGGUGGGAGCCUCCAUAGCGCGGGUGCCAGACGACCCACUGAAGAAGGAAGAUUUAUAAAAAUAAUGCCAAGCCCUUAACCAAAAAAAAAAAAAAUUAAUGCGGAUUUUUUUUUUUCUCUCCUCCCUUAUGAUUCGGGAUCCAUCUUUGUCUUGUGUAACUAGGUCAAGGCACACCCUAUGUCAGCAGUUAACAAUUUCGAAUGCCAACCAAAAAAAAAAAGAACAUAUAGCCCAGGCCUGUGGCUAAUGGUAUUGUCCUGGGUGGAAAGAUCCCAAUGGUCGUCUGAAAGCGGUGGCGAUCUCCUUCUCCUCAGAAACAUCUAACAGUGCCUCUGAAACGUCUGUUCUCAGGGAGGGAUUUGAUUUCUCUUUCUGCACAAAGCUCUUGGUCCGUCCUCAGCCCUGGGUGGUUUGGUUUUUUAUGCGGAGAAACGCUGUGGAUCCAUUGCAGGCGUUACGUGGCUGUUAACUUGAAAGCACCAAAAAAAUAAAAAAAUCUGCCUGUGAAA